UACGGGGGGGGCAAGCGUUGUUCGGAAUUACUGGGCGUAAAGGGCGCGUAGGCGGCCUGUUAAGUCGAACGUGAAAUCCCCGGGCUCAACCCGGGAACUGCGUCCGAUACUGGCAGGCUUGAAUCCGGGAGAGGGAUGUGGAAUUCCAGGUGUAGCGGUGAAAUGCGUAGAUAUCUGGAGGAACACCGGUGGCGAAGGCGGCAUCCUGGACCGGUAUUGACGCUGAGGAGCGAAAGCUAGGGGAGCAAACGGG
rnacentral:rRNA from 1 species